rnacentral:rRNA from 1 species
AUGGGGUGCAGCAGGGGCGAAAACUUGGCAAUGCGAGAAAUCGUGACCAGGGAACUCCAAGUGGCUGGGGUAAGACCCAGUCUUUUCUUGACUCUUCAAAGGUCUUGGAAUAAGAGGUGGGUAAGGACGGUGCCAGCCGCCGCGGUAAUACCGGCGCCUCAAGUGGUAGUCGAUUUUAUUGGGCCUAAAACGUCCGUAGCCUGUUUGGUACAUUCGUGGGUAAAUCAACCAGCUCAACUGGUUGAAUUCUGCGAGCACGGCCAGACUUGGGACCGGGAGAGGUGUGGGGUACGCUCAGGGUAGGGGUAAAAUCCUAUCAUCCUGAGCGGACCACCUGUUGCGAAGGCGCCACACUAGAACGGAUCCGACGGUCAGGGACGAAGCCUAGGGGCACGAACCGGAUUAGAUACCCGGGUAGUCCUAGGUGUAAACGCUGUGGACUUGGUGUUGGGGAUGACCAGAUCAUUCUCAGUGCCGAAGCGAAGGUGAUAAGUCCACUGCCUGGGGAGUACGGUCGCAAGGCUGAAACUUAAAGGAAUNGGCGGGGGAGCAC